AUGAAGGCCUUCGGGUCGUAAAGCUCUUUCGCCUGCGAUGAUAAUGACGGUAGCAGGUAAAGAAACCCCGGCUAACUCCGUGCCAGCAGCCGCGGUAAUACGGAGGGGGUUAGCGUUGUUCGGAAUUACUGGGCGUAAAGCGCACGUAGGCGGAUUUGAAAGUUGGGGGUGAAAUCCCGGGGCUCAACCCCGGAACUGCCUCCGAAACUGCCAGACUAGAGUUCGAGAGAGGUGAGUGGAAUUCCGAGUGUAGAGGUGAAAUUCGUAGAUAUUCGGAGGAACACCAGUGGCGAAGGCGGCUCACUGGAUCGAUACUGACGCUGAGGUGCGAAAGUGUGGGGAGCAAACAGGAUUAGAUACCCUGGUAGUCCACACC
rnacentral:rRNA from 1 species